GAUGAACGCUAGCGGCAGGCUUAAUACAUGCAAGUCGUGGGGCAGCAGCUUUAUAGCAAUAUAGAGGCUGGCGACCGGCAAACGGGUGCGGAACACGUACUGAACCUUCCUUUAAGUGGGGAAUAGCCCAGAGAAAUUUGGAUUAAUACCCCGUAACAUAUAAAAGUGGCAUCACUUUUAUAUUAAAGCUCCGGCGCUUAAAGAUGGCAGUGCGGCUGAUUAGGUAGUUGGCGGGGUAACGGCCCACCAAGCCUACGAUCAGUAACUGGUGUGAGAGCACGACCAGUCGCACGGGCACUGAGACACGGGCCCGACUCCUACGGGAGGCAGCAGUAAGGAAUAUCGGUCAAUGGACGGAAGUCUGAACCAGCCAUGCCGCGUGGAGGAUGAAGGUCCUCUGGAUUGUAAACUUCUUUUAUCUGGGACGAAAAAGGGCUUUUCUAAGUCAACUGACGGUACCAGAUGAAUAAGCACCGGCUAACUCCGUGCCAGCCGCCGCGGUAA
rnacentral:rRNA from 1 species